rnacentral:rRNA from 1 species
GUCGAGCGGGAGUGGAGCUUCGGUUCCACUCCAGCGGCGCACGGGUGAGUAACACGUGGGUAACCUACCUCCAGGUCUGGGAUAACCUCGGGAAACUGGGGCUAAUACCGGAUGAGACCACGAGGUCCUCGGACUUCGCGGGAAAAGAUGGCCUCUGCUUGCAAGCUAUCACCAGGAGAUGAGCCCGCGCCCCAUUAGCUAGUUGGCGGGGUAACGGCCCACCAAGGCUACGAUGGGUAGCUGGUCUGAGAGGACGACCAGCCACACUGGAACUGAGACACGGUCCAGACUCCUACGGGAGGCAGCAGUCGGGAAUUUUGGGCAAUGGGCGAAAGCCUGACCCAGCAACGCCGCGUGAGGGAUGAAGGCCUUCGGGUCGUAAACCUCUGUCGGGAGGGACGAAAGGUAGACGGGUGAAUAACCCGGGUGCUUGACGGUACCUCCAAAGGAAGCGCCGGCUAACUCCGUGCCAGCAGCCGCGGUAAUACGGAGGGCGCAAGCGUUGUUCGGAAUCACUGGGCGUAAAGCGCGUGCAGGCGGCUUGGUAAGUCGGGUGUGAAAUCCCGGAGCUCAACUCCGGAACUGCACCCGAUACUGCCUCGCUAGAGUCUCGGAGAGGAUGGCGGAAUUUCCGGUGUAGAGGUGAAAUUCGUAGAUAUCGGAAGGAACACCAGCGGCGAAGGCGGCCAUCUGGACGAUGACUGACGCUCAGACGCGAAAGCGUGGGGAGCAAACAGG